CGCGAAUAGCUCAUUACAACAGCUAUAAUUUACUUGAUCUUGACAAUCCUACUUGGAUAACUGUGGUAAUUCUAGAGCUAAUACAUGCACCAAAGCUCUGACCUUGCAGAAGGAAAGAGUGCAUUUAUUAUUUGAAAACCAAGCGGCUUCGGUCGUUUUUGUUGACUCAGAAUAACUAAGCUGAUCGCAUGGUCUUGUACCGGCGACGUGUCUUUCAAGUAUCUGCCUCAUCAACUUUCGAUGGUAGUGUAUUUGACUACCAUGGUGGUGACGGGUAACGGAGGAUAAGGGUUCGACUCCGGAGAAGGGGCCUGAGAAAUGGCCACUACGUCUAAGGAUGGCAGCAGGCGCGCAAAUUACCCACUCUCAGAACAUUGAGGAGGUAGUGACGAAAAAUAACGAGACCGUUCUCUACGAGGCCGGUCAUCGGAAUGGGUACAAUCUAAACCCUUUAACGAGUAUCUAUGAGAGGGCAAGUCUGGUGCCAGCAGCCGCGGUAAUUCCAGCU
rnacentral:rRNA from 1 species